rnacentral:rRNA from 1 species
GAUGAACGCUGGCGGCGUGCCUAAUACAUGCAAGUCGAACGCACAGCGAAAGGUGCUUGCACCUUUCAAGUGAGUGGCGAACGGGUGAGUAACACGUGGACAACCUGCCUCAAGGCUGGGGAUAACAUUUGGAAACAGAUGCUAAUACCGAAUAAAACUCAGUGUCGCAUGACACAAGGUUAAAAGGCGCUUUGGCGUCACCUAGAGAUGGAUCCGCGUUG